GGGCGCUGUGGUAGAUACAGUGAGGGGGAGGCGGAUGCCAGAGCCGUUCCACAGCGGGCCAUGGAGAGCUCACUUCAUCGGAUGCAGGCAGUGGAAAAUACAGUGGGGAGAUUUAUAUACACAGAGAACAUGAAACAAUGGGUGUUACCAUACACACUGUAACAAGAGUGAUCAGAGACUGUCCAGUUUGGCCAAUGUACAUGGCAGAGGGGCACUGCUGGCACAUGAUGGCAUAUAUCACAUUGGUCGAUGUGCAGGUGAACGAGCCUCUGAUAGUGCGGCUGAUGUGAUUAGGCCCUAUGAUGGUGUCCCCUGAACUCACUACCUACUACAGGACAGGCCCAACAAAGAAAAUAACAGAACGCCACUAGCCAUCACCUUCAGCCCCCAACUAAAACAUCUCCAGCGCAUCAUCAAGGAUCUACAACCUAUCCUGAAGGACGAUCCCUCACUCUCACAGAUCUUGGGAGUCAGGCCAGUCCUUGCUUACAGACAGCCCCCCAACCUGAAGCAAAUACUCACCAGCAACCACACAACAAAACCACUAACCCAGGAACCUAUCCUUGCAACAAAGCCCGUUGCCAACUGUGUCCACAUAUCUAUUCAGGGGACACCAUCAUAGGGAUACAGACUAACAUGGCUGCUACUCUGAUUCUUGUUUACAAUGUCACCUGAAAGUGAGAAUAGGCGUUCUCAUUGCACUAUUGUAGCCAGCGUCACAAGAUAUUUUCAUGCCAGAUGCGCUAAAUAUUCAUAUGUCCCUUCAUGCUUCAACCACCAUUCAUGCUGUUGACGGGUUCUGCUUGAUAACAAUAUAAAGCGAUGCGGACUGAUACAUGUUCAUUUUCAUGAUCUGAGUCAGAUGCCACCAGCAGAAGGUUAAUUUUCUUUUUGGUGGUUCAGGUUCUGUAGUUUUCACAUCAGAGUGUUGCUUUUUUAAGACUUCUGAAAGAAUGCUCCACACCUCGUCUCUCAGAUUUUUGGAAGGCAUUUCAGAUUUUUAAACCUUGGGUUGAGUGCUGUAGCUAUGUUUAGAAAUCUCACGUUGGUACCUUCUUUGCGUUUUUGUCAAAUCUGCUGUGAAAGUGUUCUUAAAAUGAACAACAUGUGCUGGGUCAUCAUCUGAGACUGCUAUAACAUGAAAUAUAUGCCAGAAUGCAGGUAAAACAGAGCAGGGGACAUACAAUUCUCCCCUAAGGAGUUCAGUGACAAAUUUAAUUAACAUAUUUUUUUUUAAAUGAGCAUCAUCAGCAGGGAGGCAUGUCCUCUGGAAUGGUGGCUGAAGCAUGAAUGGGCAUAUGAAUGUUUAGCAUAUCUGGCACAUAAAUACCUUGCAAUGCUGGCUACAAAAGUGCCAUGCAAAUGCCUGUUCUCCCUUUCUGGUGACAUUAUAAAUAAGAGGGCAGCAUUAUCUCCUGUAAAUGUAAACAAACUUGUUUGUCUUAGUGAUUUGCUGAACAAGAAGUAGGACUGGUGGACUUGUAGGCUCUAAAGUUUUGCAUUGUUUUGUUUUUGAGUGCAGUUAUGUAAUAAAAAAAUCAUCUACAUUUGUAAAUUGCACUUUCACAACAAAGAGAUUAUACUACAGUACUUGUAUGGGGUGAAUUGAAAAAUACUAUUUCUUUUUAUCAUUUUAACAGUGCAAAUAUUUGUAAUAAAAAUAAUAUACACUUUGAUUUCAAUUACAACACAGAAUACAGUAUAUAUGAAAAUGUAGAAAAACAUCCAAAAUAUUUAAUAAAUUGCUAUUGGUAUUCUAUUGUUCAACAGUGCGAUUAAAACUGAUCAGUCAAGAUUAAUUUUUUUUCGGUUAAUCAUGUGAGUUAACUGCAAUUAAUUGACAGUUGAAAAUAUUAGUUGAAAAUAUUAAUAGUUGUUAGUAGCUUUAGCAGUCAUGUCUCACAGUAUUUCUAGUAUAGCGCUUCCUGUUUGUAUUGCCAUAUUAAUUUUUAAUGCUAAGUGCUUGUUUUUAUCUUACCCACUAUUCUGUGGGAACAUAUGACUUCAAGGUGGACUGAUUUUCAUCAUCCUGCAAAUACUGAAUCCAUCAUCCUGUAAUCCAUCAUCCUGCAAAUACUGAAGUUCACACUUUCCUCUUCUAUUAAUUCGUUGCAUACACAGAUGUUGAUUUUUGUACUGAAUUGUUUGUACAUCUAAUUGCAUAUUUUAAUUUCAUAGCCUUUUAUGUAUGCUAUAUAUUUUGUUAUGGCACAUUUCAGUGAUGUUCUUCAUUCUGACAAAUUUAUUGUUCUUUACUGCUAAAGUCAAGGAUUUUUUUUUUUUAAUGAAUAUACUAUUACCCCUUUGCAUUGGUUGUGGGGUGGGCAUAGUGAUGAUAUCACUUAACAUCUUCAAGUAAUGUCCCUGUGGGUGGUCCACUUUAGUUGUCGGUGUGUCCCUGUGCUAUUGAUGGGAGAAUUUCAGCAGCAGACCUUACCCCCACUAUUCCUUCUUAACCGUCCUCGGCCAGAGAUGGAGCAUGGAGUUCCCAGCGGUGCCCCGACUCAAGCUCAUUUUAGGUUUAAAAGUAGUUAGAAAUAGUUAAAAACAGUUCAUAGUUAUUUAGUUACUUUUCUCCUUCUUCUGUUCUAGUUAAAAAAAAAUUCUUUCUGAGAGACUGUUAGGGUCUAUACCUGGGGCUAACUGUCCCUUUUUCAACUAUGCCUGGUUCACCAGGAUUUAAACGCUGUAUCCUAUGCCAGGAUGCUAUCCACGUGUCAGGUAGCCAUUCAUACUGUGUCCGCUGCCUUGGUGAGUCGCACAUUCCCCAAAAGUGCGCUCACUGCAGUAACCUGUAGGCUAGGCGAGACAGAGAUCUGUGCCUCAAGCUCAUUCUUAUGGAAUAAUCUCUCUGCCUGGCCUUUGACCCCAGGCAGCAAACCCCCUCUGGACGAAGAUCCCUGGAGACUUCACCCUCUGCUCAGAGGAAGGCUCACUCCUCAAAAAAAUCAUUGAGGAAAUAAGUGACAACUUCUCAGAGAGAGCUGACCAAAAAUAAAUGUUUCCCAGCCAGGUCGCUCUCCUUAGUACUGACUGCACUGUGGCUAAGUACCUUUGAUGCAUCAGGAUCCUCUGGCACCACGCAUAGCCUCUCCAUCCUCCAGUGAGGAAGAGGAUGAUGAGGAAGAGGGCAUCUUCUCCUCACACCACUCUUCACCUAUCCGAACAAUGCCAACCUCUGGAACCCUAAGAUCAAGGUCCCAAUAUUGACAGUGGUAUGGGCAUCUAUGGAUGGGCCCACUCAUAACUUUCCCCAUGCAAUGGCCUCACUGGGACCCUUGGGCCGCCUAUAGAAGACAUUAUAGCAGACCACCCAGUCCCUAUAGGGUGAGGAUUAGAUUGCCUCCACCUUCGGUGCCAGCUAUGUCAGAACCCCCAGAGGAAACAGUGGUAGACAGGGAGGAGACGAUAGAGUAGGACACCACACCACCUACUCAUAACUCCUCGUCCUCACCAGAUGAGGCCAUAAUGCCCCCACCUCCUAUGACUGCUGAUGAUUUCAAGCAAUUUCAGAAACUAUUCAAAUGGGUAGUGGAAGGUCUGAAACCCAACCCAAACUCCUGGAGAUUCUCCAAACUUCGUUCACUUCAAAAUUAGCACUGCCUAUCAAUGAUGCGCUAAUGGAACCAGCCAAAAAUAUGUGGAAAACCCUGGCAACCAUUCUGCCCACAGGCAAGAGGACUGAUACAAAAUGUUACAUACCCUCUAUGGGCAUGGACUUUCUUUUUUCCAACUCUCUGCCAAACUGUCUUGUGGUGGAGGCUGUAAAUCAACAUGGGAAACAACUUCAAUGUAAGUCUACUCCCCAGGACAAGGAACAGAAGAGACUUGACUUUUUUUGGCUGCAAAGUUUACUUGUCGGCAACCUUGCAAUUUUGAGUGGCCAACUACGUGGCACUAUUGACAAAGUAUGACUAUGACAAUUCCAUUAAGACAAUUAAAUUUAUUAAUGACAUCCCAGAGGACAAAAGGGACCAAUUCAGAUCCCUGGUGAAUGAAGGUCAACUAGUUGCCAGAACUGUGCUCCAAGCAUCCCUAGAUGUGGUGGACACAGUCGCAAGAUCUACAGCCACUGCAAUUGUCAUCCACAGGGCAUCCUGGCACCACUCCGCGGGCCACUCAAAGCAGUUACAGUCCACGGUGGAGGAUCUCCCCUUUGACAGAGAGAAACACUUUGCUGCAAAGAUGGACAAGGUCCUCCACACCAUGAAGGACUCACAAGCGACCCUCAGCACGCUGGGCAUUUACACACCUGCAACGAAGAGGAGACAACACAGAUCUCAACCAUACCAACGUAACAGAUAUAACCAAUUUGCCCAGUAAUGACAGUACGAGUCACAAUGCCAGAGACAAAGACAUCAGAGACGACCACCACCUCAGCCACAAUCCUCAACAUCGCAAUUGUCAUCCGCGAAACAACAGUUUUGAGGGUUUGGUGGAGGGUCUAAACAACCUCCCCUACCCGACAGUGCUGACAACACCUACCACAUCCCACUUUGGCCUCCGUUUAUGCCCCUUCUACCUGGUGUGGGCGUCCAUCUCUAGACAAGUGGGUCUUAGAGAUUAUGCGUUCUGGCUACUCCAUCCCAUUUACUUCCAUUCCCUCCCACCCAAGCCCCCUCCCUGUCUCUCUUCAGGGACCCUUCUCACAAGCACCUUCUACAACAAGAAGUAAACCACCUUCGAGAUCUAGGUGCCCUGGGACAAGUUCCUCCACAAAACAGGAGGAAGGAUUUCUACUCCCACUACCUUUUAACCCAGAAGAAAAAUGGAGUAUGGAGACCCACUGUAGAUCUCAGAAAGCUCAACAAGUUUGUGAGGGUCCAAUGAUUCAGGAUGGUCACACUGGCAAAGAUAAUACCAACACUGAAAUGGGGGGACUGGUUUUCAGUCCUCGACCUUCAAGAUGCCUACUUCCACGUAAGAAUUUAUCCCACUCCCAGGAGGUUUCUCAGAUUUACCCUGGGAACGGAUCAUUAUCAGUACAGGGUCCUACCUUUUGGUCUUUCCACAACAUUGUGAGUAUUCUCCAACAUUCUCGCAGUAGUGGUGGCACAUUUCCACAAACAAGGGGUAAUAAUAUUCCCCUACCUGGAUGAUUGUUUACUAAAAGGCCAUACUUGGGCAGAGUCAUUUGAUAUCACUCAACGGACAAUCAUUCUCUUUCUGAAUCUAGGAAUACAGAUAAACAAAAAUCAACCCUAAUUCCUGUACAACAAUUGGACUUCAUUUGGGCCCACCUUGACUCUACAGAAGCCAAAGCAUCAAUACCAACAAAGAGAUUUUUGACCAUAACCAGCCUCAUCUCUUCAGUGAUGAAUAGUCCACCUAUCAGCACGUACCUGCCUCCAACUAUGAGGUUGUUGGAGACCCCAGGGCAUGGCCACUAGUUAAGUCGAGGGGAUGGAAGGCCAUAAGGGUCGAGGAAGUCUCCCUGCUGAAAGCCUAAGGGCUUCUUGUCAACCCCCCUUAAUAGAACUCAGGCCUGGCUGGUUUGAGUAAGCUCUUUUGCUCUUAAAACAAUGUUGCAGUUGUAGAUAAUGCCUCAUAGUGUAAGGUUUGCUGACGCCAAGUUAAAGAUAACAGGAGAGACAGCUACAAGGCCAGACAGGAUGUGCUGGUUGUUUAAGUUGCUAGGAAUGCUUGUUAGAGGUUGCAGGAAAUAAACAUUGUUGUAACCCAUAUAAGGAAGGCAGAGUAUUUGUGCAAAGCUUUGAUUGGCCGAUGUGUAGUGCAGUAGCAUUAAGGAAUAUACAAGUGUGUGUAAUGACCUGCUCUGGUGUGCAGGAUUUGAGAUUUCUCUCCCUGUACCUUUCUUUGGAAUUCCAAAUAAACUUUUCUGCUUCUCCA